rnacentral:rRNA from 1 species
UGGGGAAUAUUGGACAAUGGGCGAAAGCCUGAUCCAGCCAUGCCGCGUGUGUGAAGAAGGUCUUCGGAUUGUAAAGCACUUUAAGUUGGGAGGAAGGGCAGUAAGUUAAUACCUUGCUGUUUUGACGUUACCAACAGAAUAAGCACCGGCUAACUUCGUGCCAGCAGCCGCGGUAAUACGAAGGGUGCAAGCGUUAAUCGGAAUUACUGGGCGUAAAGCGCGCGUAGGUGGUUCAGCAAGUUGAAGGUGAAAUCCCCGGGCUCAACCUGGGAACUGCCUCCAAAACUACUGAGCUAGAGUACGGUAGAGGGUAGUGGAAUUUCCUGUGUAGCGGUGAAAUGCGUAGAUAUAGGAAGGAACACCAGUGGCGAAGGCGACUACCUGGACAGGUAUUGACGCUGAGGUGCGAAAGCGUGGGGAGCAAA